CACGGGGUCAUGCUCAGUACGGCGAGUGAGCGGCAAAAGCUCAAAUUUGAAAUCUAGCACCUUCGGUGUUCGAGUUGUAAUUUGAAGAUGGUAACCUUGGGUUUGGCUCUUGUCUAUGUUCCUUGGAACAGGACGUCAUAGAGGGUGAGAAUCCCGUCUGAUGAGAUGCCCAUUCCUAUGUAAGGUGCUAUCGAAGAGUCGAGUUGUUUGGGAAUGCAGCUCUAAGUGGGUGGUAAAUUCCAUCUAAAGCUAAAUAUUGGCGAGAGACCGAUAGCGAACAAGUACAGUGAUGGAAAGAUGAAAAGAACUUUGAAAAGAGAGUGAAAAAGUACGUGAAAUUGUUGAAAGGGAAGGGCAUUAGAUCAGACUUGGUGUUUUACGAUUAUCUUCUCUUCUUGAGUUGUGCACUCGUAUUUCACUGGGCCAGCAUCGAUUCGGAUGGCAAGAUAAUGGCAGUUGAAUGUGGCUUCACUUCGGUGGAGUGUUAUAGCUUCUGCUGAUAUUGCCUGUCUGGAUCGAGGGCUGCGUCUUUUGACUAGGAUGCUGGCGUAAUGAUCUAAUGCCGCCCGUCUUGAAACACGGACCA
rnacentral:rRNA from 1 species